rnacentral:lncRNA from 1 species
CCCGCGCACCUCGCUCCCCCUCCCGGCCGGCGCUCGCAGUGGCGCGCCUGCUCGCUCUCCCGCUAAGCGACGAGUCUUCAACAAGUUGGAGGAAGGCAGGAACGCAGGGGUUAAGCUCGGAAAGCCGCAAUUACCAAGAUCGUGACCCUCCCACACAGUACAGUAACUUAUAUACUUACCUGGAAGAACCCGCUUUGCCGCCGGGCAAACACCCGUGGGGGGCGGGGAGGGGCCGGAGGGAGCGGGCCGGCAGGAGAGGGGCUGCUUCCAGCUGGCUGCAGUGCGGACGGGACCGGCGCGCUCCCGUGGCCCCCAGACCGAGGUGGUCAAACCUGUCCUGACACCCAGAGGUCUGCAUGAGGGG